ACUGGUAGAACGAGCGAAGAAAAAUGAAGACGCUGUUCGUCCCCGAGCGGUAGACGUAAUAGCCUUC
rnacentral:sRNA from 1 species